GGAUGUGAGGGUGAUCUAGCUGUGACAUCUGUCACCCCAUUGAUCGCCAGGGUUGAUUCGACUGAUCUGGCUGGCUAGGCAGGUGUCCCCUUCCUCCCUCACCACUCCAUGUGUGUCCUUCCCAAAGCUGCGCACUUGGUCGAAGAGGAUGACCUUCCCCACUAGAGGAGGACCGGUUUUCGGUCAAGGGUAUACAAGUAGCUGUGCUCCCCUGCUAGAACCUCCAAACAAGCUCUCAAAUAAAUAAACCUACAAAAAAAUUACAUUAGCUCUCCCUAUAUUCUUCCUUCUACCAUUUACUGUCUAUAUUACAUGAUGAAAAGUAUU
rnacentral:snRNA from 1 species